rnacentral:rRNA from 1 species
UGAGGGCCCUUUGGGUCCAACCUCCCACCCGUGUUUAUUUUACCUUGUUGCUUCGGCGGGCCCGCCUUUACUGGCCGCCGGGGGGCUCACGCCCCCGGGCCCGCGCCCGCCGAAGACACCCCCGAACUCUGUCUGAAGAUUGAAGUCUGAGUGAAAAUAUAAAUUAUUUAAAACUUUCAACAACGGAUCUCUUGGUUCCGGCAUCGAUGAAGAACGCAGCGAAAUGCGAUACGUAAUGUGAAUUGCAAAUUCAGUGAAUCAUCGAGUCUUUGAACGCACAUUGCGCCCCCUGGUAUUCCGGGGGGCAUGCCUGUCCGAGCGUCAUUGCUGCCCUCAAGCCCGGCUUGUGUGUUGGGCCCCGUCCUCCGAUUCCGGGGGACGGGCCCGAAAGGCAGCGGCGGCACCGCGUCCGGUCCUCGAGCGUAUGGGGCUUUGUCACCCGCUCUGUAGGCCCGGCCGGCGCUUGCCGAUCAACCCAAAUUUUUAUCCAGGUUGACCUCGGAUCAGGUAGGGAUACCCGCUGAACUUAAGCAUAUC